UGCCAGAGUGCAGAUAACACUUCGCAUCUUGGAAAGCUGAGAGAUCAACUUGUUACAGUCUACAGUGACCAGUCGGAAUGGACAUAUCAGCAAAUUCUGAUGGGUAGACACGCUGGCAUUACUUUUGACAUGGUGAUUCGAGGUGCCAUGCAUGCUACUGUUUCAAUGAUGGGCAGUUGCAUGCUUUACUUAAUGCCUCGAGGUUUCCUCGGCCCUUUAACUCUCAGUCUAGCCUUCCCGAAGGAUUCCCCGCUGCGAGGUGAAUUUGAUCAAGUAAUCGUCAGACUGCGGGAAUCAGGCAUCAUGGACAAGUUAUUCUCCGAUCGUACAAUCAAUGCCACUGAUUGCAUCGCGCCUGUGAGUUCCAUGGUACUUCCAUUACAGCGUCCGCUUCAGCUAAAAGACUUUUAUGGCGUGUUGCU